rnacentral:rRNA from 1 species
CUACGUGCCAGCAGCCGCGGUAAUACGGAAGGUCCGGGCGUUAUCCGGAUUUAUUGGGUUUAAAGGGAGCGUAGGCCGGGGAUUAAGUGCGUUGUGAAAUGUAGGCGCCCAACGUCUGACUUGCAGCGCAUACUGGUUCCCUUGAGUACGCGCAACGCCGGCGGAAUUCGUCGUGUAGCGGUGAAAUGCUUAGAUAUGACGAAGAACCCCGAUUGCGAAGGCAGCCGGCGGGAGCGCAACUGACGCUGAAGCUCGAAGGUGCGGGUAUCGAACAGGAUUAGAUACCCUGGUAGUCCGCACGGUAAACGAUGGAUGCCCGCUGUCGGCGCCUUGCGCCGGCGGCCAAGCGAAAGCGUUAAGCAUCCCACCUGGGGAGUACGCCGGCAACGGUGAAACUCAAAGGAAUUGACGGGGGCCCGCACAAGCGGAGGAACAUGUGGUUUAAUUCGAUGAUACGCGAGGAACCUUACCCGGGCUUGAAC